CUAAUCUUAGUUUAAUUUAGAAUAAAGGUUUUGGGGAUCUUUGGUCUCAAUUUGAGAGAUUUGA
rnacentral:tRNA from 1 species